AGGUUGGGGGGCAACAAAGGCAAGCUGAGCGGUCAGGGGUCCUUGCUCCCGCUGACGAGCGGGGAGGAGGCUCGCGUGAGAACUGCCCAUAGUGGGGGAGAAACGGGGGAGAACUCGAGCUAUCCGCAUCGUCCUCGGGACAAAGCAGGGGACCUUUUGGCCUUGCGCUGAUGGAUGAGCUCGCGUCGGAUUAGCUUGUUGGUGAGGUAAAGGCUCACCAAGGCGACGAUCCGUAGCUGGUCUGAGAGGAUGAUCAGCCACACCGGGACUGAGACACGGCCCGGACUCCUACGGGAGGCAGCAGUGGGGAAUCUUGGACAAUGGGGGCAACCCUGAUCCAGCCAUGCCGCGUGUGUGAAGAAGGCCUUCGGGUUGUAAAGCACUUUCAGUAGGGAGGAAGGCUUUGGGCUAAUACCCUGAAGUACUUGACGUUACCUACAGAAGAAGCACCGGCUAAUUUCGUGCCAGCAGCCGCGGUAAUACGAAAGGUGCAAGCGUUAAUCGGAAUUACUGGGCGUAAAGCGCGCGUAGGCGGUGUGUUAAGUCGGAUGUGAAAGCCCAGGGCUCAACCUUGGAAUUGCAUCCGAUACUGGCACGCUAGAGUGCAGUAGAGGGAGGUGGAAUUUCCGGUGUAGCGGUGAAAUGCGUAGAGAUCGGAAGGAACACCAGUGGCGAAGGCGGCCUCCUGGACUGACACUGACGCUGAGGUGCGAAAGCGUGGGGAGCAAACAGGGAUUUAGAAUACCCUGGUAGUCCACGCCCGUAACGAUGUCUACUAGGCCCGUCGGGGUCCUUUAGAUGACUUUGGUGUGCGCAGCCUUAACCGCGGAAUAUAAGGUAGAA
rnacentral:rRNA from 1 species